AGGGUGAUCUGGCUGUGAAAUCUCUCACCUUAUUAAUCAGCUUGAUUGCUUUGGCUGACACACUGACUUGGUGGAUUUUCCCUUUCUCCUU
rnacentral:sRNA from 14 species